rnacentral:rRNA from 1 species
GACGAACGCUGGCGGCGUGCUUAACACAUGCAAGUCGAACGGAAAGGCCCUGCUUUUGUGGGGUGCUCGAGUGGCGAACGGGUGAGUAACACGUGAGUAACCUGCCCUUGACUUUGGGAUAACUUCAGGAAACUGGGGCUAAUACCGUAUAGGAUCUCCUGCUGCAUGGUGGGGGUUGGAAAGUUUCGGCGGUUGGGGAUGGACUCGCGGCUUAUCAGCUUGUUGGUGGGGUAGUGGCUUACCAAGGCUUUGACGGGUAGCCGGCCUGAGAGGGUGACCGGCGACAUUGGGACUGAGGUACGGCCCAGACUCGUACGGGGGGCAGCAGUGGGGAAUAUUGCACAAUGGGAGGAAGCCUGAUGCAGAAACGCCGCGGGCGGGAUGACGGCCUUCGGGUUGUAAACCGCUUUCGCCUGUGACGAAGCGUGAGUGACGGUAAUGGGUAAAGAAGCACCGGCUAACUACGUG